AAUUUUUUAGAGAGUUUGAUCCUGGCUCAGGAUGAACGCUGGCGGCAUGCCUAACACAUGCAAGUCGAACGGAGCACCCCUGACGGAGUUUUCGGACAAC
rnacentral:rRNA from 1 species